rnacentral:tRNA from 1 species
GGAUGUGUAACUCAAUGGUUAGAGUAGCGGCCUUUUAAGCCGAAGGUUGAGAGUUCGAGUCUCUCCACAUCUACCA